AGAGAGAGAAAGAUAGAGCAUUCGGAUCCUCCUUUCUCACCGUCGAUAUGCAACUUUGAGCCUUGCCGUCGACUUCCCUUCUUGCUGCCAUUGCUCAUCUAUUUUUCUUCCCUCCAUUCUCGUUAGUACAGCAGUGGGGUUGAAUCACUGAUUCCUUUUCGGUCAUCGUCCCUUACUCUGUGUCCGAGGAGAUGCUAGCCCCGUGCACAAGCCAACACACGUGAAACGAAGGGAUAGAUAUUUAUGAAUAUUGUACUCACGCUUAUAUUCGUAGAUUUCAAGCCUGUGUUUGGUUCAUGGCUUCUGUCGUGCUUGUUUUGUGGUUUUCAACCACGCUUGAUUGCAUGCGGGUGCGGCAAUUUUCUCAGAUCGGCAAUUUCCCUCAAUGAUCAGGCGGUGCAACUUGCCGGGAGUAAAGCCCUCGAUGGAGGCGAUCGUACGUCUGCUUUUUCAAAAGUUUGAUUUAAGUUUUGGCCGACGCAGCCUCCACUUCUUUCUUGUCUAUGCCGAGAAAGGUUAGCUGUCGCUCUUUGUUCCAUGAGUUUUCUUCAUCUCACCUGCUGAAGAGAGACUGGCAUCUUUGGCCACAAUAAGCCUGAGACGAAAGAUUUUUCUUCAUCUCAACCGCUCAACAGUUCUUGAUUCAUGAAUCAUAACUUGUGCUGAUGAUGCCCCUUCCUUGAGUCUGUAGAUGUUGUGGGGUUUUUGCAAUGGUCCAGUUCCAUCCAGGAUCACAAGACUGGGAUUCAGAACAAAAAGAGACUAACGCUGUCUAUAGCUGAUCAGGAGUUAGUACUUUAUCAAAUCCAGAAUAACAUAUGCAAGUCCCACUGUUAUGAUAUCCUUUAAUGCUAACUUAUUUUUCAUUUCGGAGAAAAACCUUUAGACGUGUGCUUUGUUUGGUGACACCACUCUGAAUUCUGUGAAUGACAAGAAUUCAGAUAUUGUGCCUCCUGUAAUUGUUGUCGUCGUCCAGAUGUGUGUUUUGGGAUUUUACAAAGGUGAAUCUGGUAUUUUUCCUUAUUCUUCAUUCUUAAUUUAUCAGUCCAGCAUUUUUUAAGAUGUUAUUUCCUUCACUUCUAAGCAAUCCUCAACUUUCAAACUAUGGUGAUGCUACCAAGGUUUUUUAUAAUCAUGACAGAAUAAUGUAAUCAGAAACUACUGUUCAAGAGUUGCUUGCUCAGGUUUGCAGAAUAACUUAAUCAGAAAUUAUCCUUCAUCAGACAGGUAGACAAGUUGAUGCUAUCAAUUCCUACUGGAUUCAUGUGUACACUAUUUUUUUUUUCCC